CCUACGGGUGGCAGCAGUGGGGAAUAUUGCACAAUGGGGGACACCCUGAUGCAGCGACGCCGCGUGAGUGAAGAAGUAUCUCGGUACGUAAAGCUCUAUCAGCAGGGAAGAAAAUGACGGUACCUGACUAAGAAGCCCCGGCUAACUACGUGCCAGCAGCCGCGGUAAUACGUAGGGGGAAAGCGUUAUCCGGAUUUACUGGGUGUAAAGGUGGCGUAAACGACAGAACAAGUCUGGAGUGAAAGCCCGGGGCGUAACCCCGGAACUGCUUUGGAAACUGUGCGGCUGGAGUGCAGGAGGGGUAAGCGGAAUGCCUAGUGUAGCGGUGAAAUGCGGAGAUAGUAGGAGGAACACCGGUGGCGAAGGCGGCUUACUGGACUGUACCUGACGUUGAGGCUCGAAAGCGUGGGGAGCAAACAGGAUUAGAUACCCUAGUAGUC
rnacentral:rRNA from 1 species